rnacentral:tRNA from 1 species
GGUGGCUCAGUGGUUGAGCGCUUGCCUUGUAUGCCUGAGGCCCUGGGUUCAAUUCCCCAGCACCA